GCCGUCGUCGACCAGUGGCAGGUCCCCUCCCAUACAUGUUCGGGCCAUAUCCAUAUAUAUGUUUGGAGGAACCGGGGGUUCGAUUCCCGCCGACGGCA